rnacentral:rRNA from 1 species
GAUGAACGCUAGCGGCAGACUUAAUACAUGCAAGUCGAGGGGCAGCAUGAAUGUAGCAAUACAUUUGAUGGCGACCGGCAAACGGGUGCGGAACACGUACACAACCUUCCUAUAAGUGGGGAAUAGCCCAGAGAAAUUUGGAUUAAUACCCCGUAACAUAAUGAUGUGGCAUCACAUUAUUAUUAUAGCUACGGCGCUUAUUGAUGGGUGUGCGGCUGAUUAGAUAGUUGGCGGGGUAACGGCCCACCAAGUCUACGAUCAGUAGCUGAUGUGAGAGCAUGAUCAGCCACACGGGCACUGAGACACGGGCCCGACUCCUACGGGAGGCAGCAGUAAGGAAUAUUGGUCAAUGGACGCAAGUCUGAACCAGCCAUGCCGCGUGAAGGAUUAAGGUCCUCUGGAUUGUAAACUUCUUUUAUCAGGGACGAAAAAAGGCUAUUCUUAGUCACUUGACGGUACCAGAUGAAUAAGCACCGGCUAACUCCGUGCCAGCCGCCGCAGUAA